rnacentral:RNase_P_RNA from 1 species
UGAGCAAAUCAGGUGGUCGCGGGCGCAUGGCCGAAAGGCAGCGUCUGAGGAAAGUCCGGGCUCCGCAGGGCAGGGUGCUGGGUAACUCCCAGUGGGGGCGACCUCAAGGAAAGUGCCACAGAAAUGCAGACCGCCCGCCGGGAGGCUAGGCCUUUACGGUGUGAGGCAAGGAUGGAACGGUGCGGUAAGAGCGCACCAGCGGCCGGGUGACCGGCCGGCUAGGUAAACCCCACCUGGAGCAAGACCGAAUAGGGGAACAAUGGGGCGGCCCGUCCCGUUCCCGGGUAAGGUCGCUUGAGGCGUCUGGAAACAGCCGUCCUAGAUAGAUGAUCACCCAACGACAGAACCCGGCUUAUCGAUUUGCUCGCACG